AUGGCUGUCGUCAGCUCGUGUCGUGAGAUGUUGGGUUAAGUCCCGCAACGAGCGCAACCCCCGUUCCCAGUUGCCAGCGCGUAAUGGCGGGGACUCUGGGAAGACUGCCGGUGCCAAACCGGAGGAAGGUGGGGACGACGUCAAGUCAUCAUGGUCCUUACGUCUAGGGCUACACACGUGCUACAAUGGUCGGUACAGUGGGUUGCGAGCCAGCGAUGGCAAGCCAAUCCCUUAAAGCCGCCCUCAGUGCGGAUUGGAGGCUGCAACUCGCCUCCAUGAAGCUGGAAUCGCUAGUAAUCGUGGAUCAGCUACGCCACGGUGAAUACGUUCCCGGGCCUUGUACACACCGCCCGUCACGCCAUGGAAGCUGUGAGCGCCCGAAGUCCGUGUCGCAACCCGCAAGGGGGCAAGCGGCCGAAGGCGAGCGCAGUGACUGGGGCGAAGUCGUAACAAGGUAGCCGUAGGGGAACCUGCGGCUGGAUCACCUCCUUAACGGAUACACGAGUAGGUCUUGGUCUCGAGCAAUCGAGCGGAGACUGAAAGUUUCCCGUAUGUCGCUCGCCUUGCGCAUCCACUCCCAAAUUCAGUUUCUGCUGAGACGCCACAGGCGUGGCGGACCUUCGGGUCCGUCACGCGUGGUGAGCGUCGAUGCUAUUUGACAACGGAAGUAGUGGUAGAUCGCGGAUUUGAGAAUCCUUAUUGAGAGACUCUCAAUUUCGUCCGAGAGCGUUAGCACGAUCAACGUUGUUGGAUGAAGCAGAUUGUCACUCGACGAAGGGUCCGAAAGGACAAACGUAAGAUUGUAGGCGCUCUGCUUGAGCACAGAUUGUUGUAGUCAAGCGAGUGAAGGCAUGUGGGGGAUGCCUGGGCACACGGAGGCGAGGAAGGCCGUGGUAAGCUGCGAUAAGCCAGGGGGAGUGGCACACACGCAAUGAUCCCUGGAUGGCCGAAUGGGGAAACCCGG
rnacentral:sRNA from 1 species